UGUGUGUGUGUGUGUGUGAUUUCCUUUUAUAAACUGCUCUCAGGGUUAACAGAUACUACAGUUCCUGAUAUCAAGCCCAUUCCCUGUGGACUCUUAACACACACGAGCAUGAUGUACACUGUGCACUCCACAGCAACCUGGCUCUUCCGUUUGUGCUGGUUUGGAACAGCGUUGAUUUUCAGGUUUCCUCAGUACCUCCUGUCUCCUCCUCCCAUCUAAAACUUGCAUCUGUUCUUUAGCUGCUGGUGACGCAGCCUUCUCUUCUGAGAAUAUGGGAGACAUGCAUCUCUUUUAACAACUUCCGUAGAGAACUGAGCUGAGUACCCCUAGGGUAGGGAUAGAGGGGCAGUAGUGAGCUGAGUACUACAACACAUACUGAAAGCUUACAUUAAGCCAAAAUCAUUGCCCAAGUGUAUUAAAUGUAUAUUUAAAAUUUAACCAAGGAAAAAAAAACCAAGACUCUAGAAAGCUCUAUAAAGCUCCCAAACCAAAUAUUCUCCCCGUUUCUUUGAUUCUGUUCUGGCUAGUGAGCUCUGAGGAUGAGCAUGAACUGUGCUAAUGUGUUUAAUGAGAGUUCAUUGCUUGCACUAACCAAGAUGAGACCGUAAAGAACACGGAAUCUUUUCAAGAUAGGACACAAAAACGGAUGAGACUGUAAAGAACACAGAAUUAUUUCAAGGUAGGACACAAAAAAGGGGUGAGAUCAUAGAGAACACGGAAUCAUUUCAAGGUAGGACACAAAAAGGGAUGAGACCGGAAAGAAAACGGAAUCAUUUCAAGGUAGGACACAAAAAGAGAUGAGACUUUAAAGAACACGGAAUCAUUUCAAGGUAGGACACAAAAAGGGAUGAGACUGUAAAGAACACGGAAUCAUUUCAAGUGAAGGACUGUUUGGCCUGCUGAGGAAGGGUGAUUUUUAUAAAGAGAUCUUUAAGGAAAUGUUAGGAGUGGCUACCAAUAAUAUCCUUUAGCACAUGCAGGAAGGACAUUCAAGAACCCUCCAAUCAGUCAGUGAAGAGCAUGUCAGAUUAUCACCGUGUUUUGUUCCUGCAGAAAGGAAGACAGCUAACUUGAUACACGGUAGGGCAUGGGGUCAUGGUUUAGCACAGGGGUGAGGGAGCUGGGGGGAUGGGGUGGUGGUGGGUGGCUUUUGGGCAGCAGAUGUCUGACUAUGAGAAUCUGACUAUAGGAAUGAUGGUCACGGCAACACUGUCAAGGCCUUUCCAACCCUUCUGCCUUCUUGAAUGAUUUCAGACUUUUUUGCCUUUGGAUCACGGAUGACAAAAUCACUUGUGACAAAUUCUGCUGGGUGUACUGUCAUUGAACUACACUGAGACGUGUCAGAAUGACCAGCCCUGAGGCCUUCACUGUAGCAGAAACAUGGCUGAGGAAUGCCCUGCUGUGCUCAGAGAGCCCAAGAGAAGUCCUAUUUCUCGGCUCUUAGCCUGGCUUUAAUCUCCUGGAGCUUUUACUAUUGCAAACAUUUAUCCCCACUGUCUUGCUCUUGAGUACUUCGUCUGAACGACCUCUGAUCUACGGCAAUGGCCGUGUUCUUAGCCUCGUAAACAGCAAUGAACCAACCCCAUGCUACUGUAGCUUUCUGGUUUUACUGUAGUUAUUAAAAA
rnacentral:sRNA from 1 species